rnacentral:rRNA from 1 species
UACGGGGGGAGCAAGCGUUGUUCGGAUUUACUGGGCGUAAAGGGCGCGUAGGCGGCCAGCACAAGUCAGUUGUGAAAUCUCCGAGCUUAACUCGGAACGGUCAACUGAUACUGUGCGGCUAGAGUGCGGAAGGGGCAACUGGAAUUCUUGGUGUAGCGGUGAAAUGCGCAGAUAUCAGGAAGAACACCAAUGGCGAAGGCAGCUCUCUGGGACGGUACUGACGCUGAGACGCGAAAGCGUGGGGAGCGAACAGG